UACGUAGGGUGCGAGCGUUAAUCGGAAUUACUGGGCGUAAAGCGUGCGCAGGCGGUCUGUUAAGACCGAUGUGAAAUCCCCGGGCUUAACCUGGGAACUGCAUUGGUGACUGGCAGGCUUUGAGUGUGGCAGAGGGAGGUAGAAUUCCACGUGUAGCAGUGAAGUGCGUAGAGAUGUGGAGGAACACCGAUGGCGAAGGCAGCCCCCUGGGCCAAAACUGACGCUCAGGCACGAAAGCGUGGGGAGCAAACAGG
rnacentral:rRNA from 1 species